AUGAACGCUGGCGGCGUGCCUAAUACAUGCAAGUCGAGCGCACGGACGAGAAGCUUGCUUCUCUGAUGUUAGCGGCGGACGGGUGAGUAACACGUGGAUAACCUACCUAUAAGACUGGGAUAACUUCGGGAAACCGGAGCUAAUACCGGAUGAUAUUUUGAACCGCAUGGUUCAAAAGUGAAAGACGGUCUUGCUGUCACUUAUAGAUGGAUCCGCGCUGCAUUAGCUAGUUGGUAAGGUAACGGCUUACCAAGGCAACGAUGCAUAGCCAACCUGAGAGGGUGAUCGGCCACACUGGAACUGAGACACGGUCCAGACUCCUACGGGAGGCAGCAGUAGGGAAUCUUCCGCAAUGGGCGAAAGCCUGACGGAGCAACGCCGCGUGAGUGAUGAAGGUCUUCGGAUCGUAAAACUCUGUUAUUAGGGAAGAACAUAUGUGUAAGUAACUGUGCACAUCUUGACGGUACCUAAUCAGAAAGCCACGGCUAACUACGUG
rnacentral:rRNA from 1 species